UUUUCAUUGACUGUAGC
rnacentral:rRNA from 1 species